rnacentral:tRNA from 1 species
GCCGGUUUAGCUCAGUCGGUAGAGCAACUGAUUUGUAAUCAGUAGGUCGCGGGUUCGAAUCCUGCAACCGGCA